GCUCUCUGGAUCAGUGGCGAACGGGUGAGUAACACGUGAGCAAUCUGCCCUUGACUCUGGGAUAACAGUUGGAAACAGCUGCUAAUACCGGAUACGAGUUGUGAAGGCAUCUUCAACAACUGGAAAGAACUUCGGUCAAGGAUGAGCUCGCGGCCUAUCAGCUAGUUGGUGAGGUAAUGGCUCACCAAGGCGUCGACGGGUAGCCGGCCUGAGAGGGUGACCGGCCACACUGGGACUGAGACACGGCCCAGACUCCUACGGGAGGCAGCAGUGGGGAAUAUUGCACAAUGGGCGCAAGCCUGAUGCAGCAACGCCGCGUGAGGGACGACGGCCUUCGGGUUGUAAACCUCUUUUAGCAAGGAAGAAGCGAAAGUGACGGUACUUGCAGAAAAAGCGCCGGCUAACUACGUGCC
rnacentral:rRNA from 1 species